rnacentral:lncRNA from 1 species
UUUUCCACCAUACCUUUAGCAGAAUACCCUUAACUCCACUCCGUGUUCUAGGACAAUGUUCUGAUUUCUUUAAAUGUAAGGCUGCAGCAAUGACUUCAGGUUUAGGCUCUUUUUCCAAGCCUGUGAAGGUUCUGAUCAAGAAUAGGUAUACCCAGAAGCUCGGAGAACUCUUCCAUUGUAGGAACCAGCUGAUAGUCGGGAAUGUGAAGCAAUGAUGUUUUGGUCAAGAACUGAAACAGGACACUCAUCAUGUCUUCAUUGAACCCUGAAGUGACUAGAUCCAGUAGGUGCCAUGCCUCUUGCUGAACUGGGAGUUUUCAGAAACUUGAGAGACCAAUUCCUUAAGCUUUAGGAGGUAUUCCUACAAGUUGAUCCGGAUAGUAUUCCUACGAGCAGAAGCCAUGACCUGCAACAAAGAACAAAGAUAAAUCCUUUGGUCCUUGAAAUGGUUAGUGAAAAUGCUAUGCUUAUGAUGCAUGAUGAUGCUAGAUGUUAUGCUCAAUCACAAACAUGUGGCACACACAAAACAAGUCACACAAUAACCUAGUUUGAAGGCUUGCAUGAGGUUUAAAGGUAAGUACCCUCCCUGAAGUUUAGUGAUUCAUCCUGUCCUACAAAAGUAACCAGUUUCUAAGGAUCUCAAAUCAUUGAUCCUUCACAAGGGUGGUUGUUCAGUAGGCAACUUACUUGCCAACCAAAACCCUCCAAGGUAGGAUCUCAAUGAGUGUAGUAUCGAGUAUCAACCAACUUCAGUUUCACUCAAAGGCCGGUUAUCUCACUACUUUCUAAAGGCCAAGAUGGGAUGACUAGGGUCUAAAGUCAGUUAGUGUAUUGACAACAUAUGGCAGCCUCAUAUUAUCCUCAACUUGCUUAAGGAACAUAAGCACCAACCAAGAAGUCACACUAACUAUGGCCACCAGAUCAACCAUAUCGAAUAACGCCGUACAAUUCCUUGGUCUAUUGCCAUUUACCUAAGUACACUAGAUCCGGGUUAGGGUCUUUCACACAUAAGAGCACCCAACAGAUAAGUAUAAAGCAAACAAGGCAAACAAUUUUAAAGUGAUCUAAUUCCUAAGGUACCCUCUUUUAUUAAAUUCCAAGCAGAGUCGCCAGUUCUGUAACACGGUGGGAGAACUGACUUUAGUUAAAUGUUGCGGAUAGCAAGAGUCGCCACCGACUUUUAUUUUAUCAAAGAAAAGACAUAAAAGAACAGGAAAGACCUUAAAAAUAUUUUGAGUUCGGGGGUAGGUUAUACAAAGGAAGGUAUUAGCACCCUUUAUAUCCAUGGUUAUCCAUGGGCUCUUAGUUACUUAGCUCACUUUGUUUGUUUGCAAGAGUGUAGUGUGUGAUUAGAAAAAUUUCUUUAAGUACUUUGUAAUGACCCUCGUAUGGGUGUAUACAAAGCUAGUUUAGAAAUUGUGAGGUGUAAAAAGUAAUUUCGAAAAGUGUGAGCAGUAACUAUGAGAUACCUACCCUAGAUUAAGUCUUCGUGUUCUCGUAUAUUCUUUCAAUGGUAAGACUGUCCCUUAUUAUUAAGGAAUAGGUAGUCAUUACUUGAUGUGUUUAAGGGCGGGCGUAGGUCAUCGUAUGGUCAAUGAAGGCAACAUAAGGGUGUCUUUAGCAACUCGUAGGGACUAUCAUCAUAUUUAUCGAAGGGACAAGAUCAUAUAUCGUAGGCAACCUCGUAGGGACUUGAUCUUUUAGUUUAUAGGGCUUGAUGAUUUUUCUGUUUGAAGGGACUUUGCUUAAGACACCCCUAUUUUCGAGGGACUUGACCAUUUAAAGAAGGCAACCAAGAGGAAACCCUAGGAAGUACAGUUGGCGAUCAAAGAUCGACUUACGUGUGUGAGUGUUAUUUUCAGAUAUUUGUCUUGAAUUUAAUUUUCUAAGUUCAAUUAUUUACAGUUAGUUUUUUUGCACUCCCUAAAUUACUAACCACGCAAUAAAUAAUUUACAAAAAUAAAAGCAAGAAAAAUAAAUUCCUAAACUAUUACAUGGCUAUGGGACAGAUACAUAAUAAUCAGGCGAGAAAGAAUAAAUACAACCUAUACAUUUGUUCCUAAUAUUAUAAAUAAAACAAAAUUAAAAUAAGGAAAUAAUGAAGCAAAAAUAGAAUAGAUAAAAGCAAAUAAUAAUAAAAUAAUAAAUAACAAUGUAAUAAGCAAUAAUAGAUAAUAAUAAUAAUAAAGUGAUAAUAAAAAAGUUAGAAUUUUAAAAGAAAUUAUUUUAGGUUAAACAAGUUAGAUUUUUUAGAAGUUAUUAGAAAAUAUGAGUUCAAAAUAAAUUAGUAAUAUAAAGAAUUUAAAUACAUUAAUGUACAAAUUAUAAAAUAAAAGAGUUAUAUGAAAAAUUAAGUUAGUUAUUUACAAAUAAAUAAAGAUUAUAGAAAAUAUCAAAUUAUUAGAUUAAUAGAUUUUAUUAUUAUUCAAUUAGAUUUUAUUUACAAAUAUAUAAGGAUUUUUUAUUAUAAGUAAGUAAUAAAAAAAAGUUAUUAAAAUAGUUAGUAUUUAUUAUUUAUUUACAAAAAUAUAAAGGUUAUAGAAAAUAUUGAAUAAUUAAUUAAUAGGUUUUCACGCCCUACAUUACUAAAACACGCAGUUAAUAUAGGAUCAAUGGCAGGAAUUUAAAUGACAGAAAAAUAAAAUGGCAGAAAAUAAACGGCAAAAAUAAAACCCUAAUUAUUACAACGCUUUGGUGCAGUUACAUAAUAAAGAUGGCGAAAAGUAAACUGAAAAUAUUACAAGUUAAAACUUAAAAUAUUACAAGGGCGAAGCAGUUACAGUGUAUGAUAACAUAAAUAUGAGCGAAAAUAGGAAAUAAUAAUAAGGUUUGUUAAGGUUUAAGAAAAGGUUUAUGGUUUAGAGGAAAUAACACGGUUAAAGUUUUAGGUUUGACAUUUAGAGUUUGUGGCGAAAUUGUCAGGGUUUAGGAAAAUCAGGGUAGUUAGGUAUUGAAAAAAAUGUGCAGAUCUAAAUAUAUGUAUAUAAAAAAAAUAUGAAUUAAAAAAAAACAACGGCGUUGCUAGCGCAAAAUUGCGAUCAUCGCAACUGGAUCGGAUAACACAAAUGUCACGCCUCAUACACGUAUAUGUGAAAACGGCGUAUUGACACGAUCCGAUCCGAAAACAUAAUCAAAUUAUAACAUAAAAUAGAAAUAUAUAUAUAUUUAACACACUAGUUACAUAUUAUAAAUUAUAUAUUAUAUGAUCCAUAUCAUUUUAUUAACAACAAAAAUUAUUUAUAUUAUAUUAUAUAUUAUGAGACAUGUAAACUUAUAUAAAAACAAACACAUCAAAUACAUAAUACAAUGAACCAAAUUAUUAUACAUGUUAACUUUGUGCAUAAAAAAGCAAAACGGCGAUAUCCUGAUAUAUUUAACCAAACCGCAUGUAUCUGGAAUACAUAACACAGUCACACAUAUGAACAUGUAUUUGAAACACAGUAACAAUAUAUCAACAAAAUAGAUAAAGUAUAUAUCAUAUAUAAGUAUUACCAAACUGUGUGUACGAUAGUAUAGAUCAGCCACUCUCAGUUUCUCUUUUCUGUUCUGUCUUUUUGCCUCUCUCUAUCAGUCAUGCUAGUAAAUAUAUAUAGGAACAAAUUAGGUUUAUGAUAAUGGGCCUAAGUUUAUUUUGAAACCCAAUAUUAAAUAAAACUGAAUAAAGUUAAUAAUUAAAAUAGUUAAAAUUAAAAUAAAAACUAAUUAACCUAUUUAUUUAUUCUAGACCCAUAUAAAAUAAAUAGACUCAAAAAAAAAAAAAGUCGGGCACCAAAAUGCUCGAAAAAAUAAAAUGAACACGUCAAAAUAAUCAGCGCGAAAUAAAUGACUUGGAAAAAUACAGCGUUUGGUCGGAUUUUGAAAUAAAAAUUAUGACCGUUUAAACUGCUCAGACUGAUCAACAUAUGACCAAAAAUAGUCGUAAAAAUAUUUAGCAUGUCAAAUUAAACCACGUGAACCGCAGAUUAAUGUUACCGACAUUUGCAAACUUAAACUUGACAUUUUUUCGUUGACUAAUUUUAGGCACAGUUAAAAAGUUAAUUUGACCGUCUGUUUGUAAUUUUCCGAGAAAUUAUUCCGGCUAAUAUUAAGACAGAAAAAAUGUUAUGCUAUGAAGAUGAUGCAAAUGAAUGUGAAACAAAAAAUUGGUUAGAGUUAAAAAUAGAGGGCAAAUUUUGGGGUGCAACAGCAGGUGCUAUAUGAGCCACCUAGUGUUAGUUGAUUGUUGGAUGGACUUCUCUCCUCUUCACAGAUGACCUUCUCUUCACAUGGGAAGACACGACAUGAGUCUCUCCCUCCUUCUUCCUAGCAAAUCCUCCAUAUUUCUUUGCUGAGGAACCAUCAUGACGAGAUAAAUGUCCUUCAUGGACCCCCUCUUCUAGCCUCAUUCCCAUGUUCACCAUUUCGGUGAAGUCUGAGGGAGCACUAGCAAUCAUGCGCUCGUAGUAGAAAGAGCUCAAAGUCUUUAGGAAGAUAUUUGUCAUCUCCUUCUCUUCCGGGGGUAGCACUAUCUGAGCUGCCAGUUCUCGCCAUCUCUGUAAGUAUUCCUUGAAGGUCUCCUUGUCUUUUUGGGACAUCGCCCUCAACUGGUCCCUGUCUGGAGCCAUAUCCAUAUUAUAUUUAUACUGCUUUACAAAGGCCUCACCUAGAUCGUUGAAAGUGCGGAUGCUAGCACUCUCCAGCCCCAUAUACCACCGGAGCGCAUCACCUGUCAAGCUAUCCUGAAAGUAGUGAAUCAACAGUUGAUCAUUAUCUGUUUGUGUUGACAUCUUGCGAGCAUACAUCAUAAGAUGGCUAAGUGGACAUGUGUUCCCCUUGUACUUCUCAAAGUCAGGCACUUUGAAUUUAACAAGGAUUUUAACGUUGGGCACCAAGCACAACUCAAAAGCACUCUUCCCAAAGAGGUCCUUACCCCUCAAAGUCUUCAGUUCCUUGCGCAUCUCAAGGAAUUUAUCUUUCAUCUCGUCCAUUUUUUCAUAUACGUUCGGGCCCUCAGAUGGCUCGGAAUGAUAAAUGGUGUCUUCUACACGAGGGAGAGUGUGCACGACGGGAGGUGGCACAGACAAGACCGGGCUAGAUGCCGGUAUAGAAGCAAGAGUAGGGGUAAAACCCUCUGGCAUGAAAUUAGAAGGCAUUCCCCAAGGGAAUCCAGCUGGCAUAGUAUGAGCGAAGUGGGCUGUUGCAGCAGGCACUGUUGAUGUAGCUACCUCAGAAAUGACCGUCCUCGCGGGAGGAGUUGCAGGAGUUGGCGAAGCUUGACUUUGUGCGGCCAGAACUGACUCCAUCAUGGCAGUCAGUCUAGCGAUCUCUUCUUUCAAGUCCCUGUUCUCUUGCUCGAGAUGUUCCAUUAUCUUCGGAUGAUUUGCUCUGGUGUUAUACCGGUGCAUCAGCUUGUCCUCAAAAUAAAUGAAGAGCAAAGAGUUAGACCAAUGAUCAAGAGCUCAGAACAAAACUUGCUUAUGCAUAUGAUGAAUGUAAUGCUUGUGCAUAUGAUUUGUUUUAUCAAAGGAACUUUAUAGAGAUCUAUUUGCAAACAUUUGGAAAAUAUUGAACUUUUAAGACAUAUAUGGAAUACUCAUAGCAAUAAUAUUUGGAAACUUUUUACACCAAAGAAGCAGUACAGUUUUGGUAACCAAAUACAAUACCAGAGAAAAGGAGAAUAGACAUCCUAUGGAGCCCUAGAAGCAAUCGUCCAAAGCCUUUGAGAUCGGAAGAUAAGCUGCGCGAAGCCUCUUCACCUCUCUCUCAUAAGUUGCUUCCAUGUCGGCCUUCUCCUUGGCGAGCUGAUCAUACUUCCUCUUCCAAAACCUGGACGAAUGAGGAAGGAGAGAAGUAACCACAUCAUCCGGCUCAUCAAUAACCUGAUGCUCUAGAAACUCUAUCAUUGCAUCCUUAUCUUUGAGCUGCUGAAGAAGUUCCUCACGCUCACGAACCCAAGCACGCGACCGAUCUUCGUCUCUCGACUCCUCUACUGCUUGAUUAGGGAGGGUUGAAGGCCCAACCAUAACCACAUGGGUAGGUCUCAGAUACUCGUACGGCAUGCGGUACUCAAGAGCCCUCUUCCUUACCCAAGCAGUGUAAGGUUCCAAAGCGACACAACUCUUUGGACCGAGCUCAUUCCUCCCUUUCCUAUGAACCUUGCGCCAGGCGCGGACCAUCCUAUCCUUCAAGUUUUUGGGAUCUUUACCCUCUUGAAAGAACAAGCCUUCCAACGAAAUGUUGUUAGGUUUAUCCUUUAAGGGGAACCCAAGCUGACGACAAGCCAAAGCAGGGUUGUAGUUAAUUCCACUACAUGUACCAAGAAGAGGCACAUUGGAGAACUCACCACAAGAGUCAAUAAUCUGAACACCAUCAUAAACAUGAUUAUACUAAGAGAUAUCAUCAUUAGUGAGAGACAUAAGUCUCGUGGACCACCGUAGACAUCCCUUGUUCUUCUUGAAGGCAGGCGUCUGAGGCAAGUGCGAAAUAAACCACUUGUACAACAGAGGAAGACAACACACAAUGGAACCACCACCCUUUGCAUUCCUCAUAUGCAAAGAGAAAUAAGUGUCACCCAACAGAGUAGGAAUGAGAUUAAGAGAAGAGAAAAUCCUAAUAGCGUUCACAUCCACAAAGUUGUCGAUGUUGGGGAAUAACACUAGCCCAUAGAUGAGGAGCAUAAAUAUGGCUUCAAAAGCUUCCUUACUCAUGGCUUUCCCAAACAAAGUAGCUUUGGCAAUCAGAAAAUCAGAUGGGAGACCUUGAAUUCCACCUUUGGUAGUCAUAUUGGCACUAAUAUCAAAUACAUCCAUAUGAAGCAUGUCAGCAAUCUCUUGAGAAGAAGGAAUCUUCUCGAAGCCACUGAAUGGCAACUGAUCAAGAAUUGGUAUACCCACAUGAUAGGCAUACUCCUCAAGUGUAGGCAAAAGCUGGAAAUCCAGAAAAGUGAAGCACCGAUACAGAGGAUCGUAGAAAUGCACUAACACACUCAUUAGACCUUCAUCCACCUUAGUAGAAAGAAUAGACAGAAGCUUCCCAUGUUGAGCUUUGAACUCCAAAGGUUCUAAUACAUAAGAUGUCAAACUCCUUAACUCUUUCAAGUCGGGUUGUCUGAAACUGUACUUCUUCGUAUUCCUUCUUUGCUUAUCCAUGUCUGAAAACUUGCAAAUAGACCUCUUAAGUUCCUUGAAAAAACUUUAUUGUUGAUGACAUGAAUGUGAAUGAAUGCAUGGAUGCAACAAUCACACUCAAGGAUCAAGCAAGUCACACCACACAAAGGUCGCGGGAUGACUCAAGUUAUCAUCAAUAUCAAUCAUCCAUUUUGGUGGAUUAUGGUUUACACCUUAUCAACACCCAAGUUCCAUUGAUAUUGAGGAUAUACGAGAACGGAUCGACCAUGAAUCAAGGGUUUGUUGAGAGUCACGAGCAUGGAGUCUCGGUUAAGAAUCACCCAAAGGGAGUGUACUAUGGUUAAACCUGACAAUCAUGUUCUAAAAAGGUUCCCAUAGUCAUCAUCUCAUCUUUCGGAUAUUAUCGGAUAAAACGACUACUCCUCCUCCAAAAAUAUUCUUAAGAGGGACUCUUAUGAGUGUAGUAUCGCGUAACAAUCGCCUCAAGUCUUACACUUGAACGACCUUCGCACUACGUCCUAAAAUAGGCCAAGAUGGGCUAGGUAGCUAAGGUCCUUGACUUCUAAGGUUUAUAUUGGAAAGAGUAAUGCCUAGCCACGACUACUCGUGUGACAUUAUUGAUCCCAAUAAGAACUCCACCGAGUGAAUGGGCUUGCAAGUUAACUUGUUAAGGAAUAACUCCACACAAAUCAACAAGACUAUGCCAUUCUCCUAUCAUAAGUUCACUCGAGUUCGGGUAUAAAACUUAUCUCACAAGAAGCCACCAAGCAUACAAGCAAUUAAUAUAUCAAGCAAUUCAUACAUUACAAACAAUACAUUCAUCCCAAAUUUACACAAAAAUAUGCCACAAAUAAAUAUAAACAUAUAACACACACAAGCAAAAAGUAGGUUAAACCCACUGGAGACUAGUUCCCCAGGAGAGUCGCCACUUUUCUGUAGCGGGGUUUUCGUUACCUUUAGGUUUAUUGACUAAACCAAAAGUAAACAUACAAUUCGAGUCGCCGUCGCACUUUUAUUUGUCCAAAGGAAAGGAUAAAAAGCGAACGAAAGUCAAGUAAGAAUUUUUCAAAUCAAAAACUAAUAAAAAUGUCAGAGAUCUGAGUAAGGGAGUUGGUUAUGAAAUGGGAAGGUUUUACGCAGCCAAAACAUCCUUAGUAUUCUAAGGGAACCCUUUUUGCAAAUAUGUGUUGUAGGUUGGUAUUUGUGAAAAGAUUUAUACAAAAGAUUGGGGGGAUGAGAAGAGAAUAGAUUAUAUUUACAAAUUUUGUUGUUUGAAUGGAUGAACCCAUUGCCUACGUACCAUCACAAAGGUAGGAUCAAAACCUCGUAGUUCAGGGUAAAAAAUCUCAAAGAUUGGUGAACUUAUUUGAUCAAAAGCCCUAAUGUCUUUUGUUAUCAAAUGGAGAAAACUCAACCUAAACCAACAAUCCACCAUGUGAGGAAAGCUUCAACAUACUAGUGAGGGGUUAACCCUAUAAUAAGUAUGGAAGACUUAUAAUCCAGUCACUAAGGAUGAGGUGAGAUUUACAUCAACCACUAUGAUAACUCAAACCUAUGACUAAUGUUUAUGAAAAGGUUUUAAUGAGGUGGCCAUUGGAACCACAAAAACAACUUGAAGUGAGUUAUAUUUACAAGUUAGAUUUAUUUACAAAAUAAAGUCAAAGUUGGAUUAAGAUUUAUUCACAAUAAGUAUUGAUGAAAAUGGUUUUAAAAUGUCAAAGGAUUAAGGCCUAGGUUUCUAAUUUGAAACAAAGUCAAAGUUUAGAAAAAAGAUUUUUGGCUUGGUUAGAGUGGGGAGAAGAAGAGAAGGGUUAGUCCUAAAGCAUACAAAGAUGAGAGAGGAAAGAUAAACCCUUGGAGUUCCUUUUCUUGAAAUCAUAGAGAUGAUUCAAGAUGUUCCUUUCUUUUGGACUUAGCACAUAAUCAAGCAAUCAAACAAUUUGGAUUCAAGCUCAUAGGAUCUCCAUUUGGCUUGUCUCUUAACUUGGCUACUCAUGACAAUGGUCCUCUUUUCACAAUCUCAAGAUAGGAUCCCUAUCACACAAGAGCAAACAUCAAAAAGUUCACAACACAAUAAGGGGAAUGGACAAAGAAUAAGUUUGGAUGAGAAGUUAUUUGAAGUCAACUUUGGAUUUUAGCAUUCUAAAGGCAUGAGGCCUAGUUGCUCUUCAACAAUUUAGAAUUCUAAAGGCAUGAUGCCUAGUUGCUCUUGAACUCCUUUUAAGCAUAGGUAGGUCCUAAUUCUAAGUCCUUUCUCCUUUUGCAUUUGGUUCACACAAAAACAAACACAAAGCAAACACAAGAUAACAAUAUAUUUAUUUACAAUAAUGAGCUCAAAUGAGCAAAAGGAAAAUGACAUAAACAUAAAAUAUGUGCUCAAGUGAGGAAAGUGAAAAUCAAUAUAAAUAAUGAGCAAGAAAUAAAUGACAUUAAAAGUAAAUGACAAGGAAUUAAAUGCUCAAAUUAAAGUUAGUAAUUAGUGGAAGUUAUGUUAGCUUGUCAUAAGACAAUGUAGCGCUAUGUUAAGCAAUCGUAAGUGGACUAAUGUAGUAGUCACACCUAUCUGAGGCUGGUCAAUAAAAAUAUAGGCAAAUAACACAAGUUAGAGAUCAUGACUAGUAAGCCAAGCUCCACAAACUUGCCAUGCCAAAACAAAAGGGGAAGAGCCUUGUAUUGUCUUUAGGUUAUUUGCUUGACCAAGAAGCAACCUAUCUUGGACACAAAACAACUCACCUGAUCAUGGAUCAAGUUGAGUUUGGUUUGGAUCAAAGAAGAUUAAACCUCUCAUUUGUCAAGACCAACCAUAAGAACUUAACUCAUUGCUCAUUGAUGGAAAGAAUGGGAUGAAGAUGAAAGGAAAUGGAAAAGAAGACAAGUAUCAAGUCCAAUUGAUCAAAUAUAAACCAAGUCAUCAUCAAUCAAUGCCAAACAAAAAAGAAAUGAAGAUUAGAACUCAACAAGUCAACAAUAAUUUUUUUGUAUUUUUUGAAUUAAAAUAAAAUGCAAAUAAAAAUAAACAAAUAAGGUCAAACCUCAAAUUCAAUUCAAAUCAACUUCAACAAGUCCAAUUAAAUUUUCAUAGGUCUAACAUAGUCAAACAAGCUUUGACUAAUUUUCUCAACAAUUUUUGAAAUCAGAAAGUAAUUAAAAACAAUUAAAAACAAUCAAAAAUAUCACAAAAUGGAUUAAAAUCUCAAAUAAAUCUCAAAUCAAAUAGAAAUUGAUGAGACUAUUUUUCAUUGAUUUGUCAUGAUCCAUAAUUGCUAGGAAAAUAUUUUUGGAUUUUUCAAAUAUCAGAAAGUAUUUUAAAAUGAAUUAAAACUAUUAAAAACCAAAUAAUUCACAAAAAAUAUUAAAUGAAGUCACAAAAGUAAUUAAAAAUCAAAAUAUGAAACUAGAUUUUUCAAGAAAUUUUUUGGAAUUGGUCUCAUAUUUUUAUGACUUCAAAUAAAUUUUUUAUGAAUUUUUAAAAAUAAAGGGAAUUAACUAAAAUUAAAAGAAAAUAGAAAUAAUAGAAAAAUACGCAGCCACAAGAUCAGGUUCAUUAAUUGACGUGGCAAGGUGUAGCACCUCAAAUUUGCACCUACCAUUUUGUACAUACAUUUUCAUUUUAGGUCAUUAACAUUACAUUGUCCACUGCAUAGCAUUGCAUUGUCCAUUUGCCUAGUGCAAGUCAUCAGUCAAGACUGGUCAGGAGAUCCAGUCAAACAAGCAAGCAAGUGCAUUUCCUAUUGAAGCAAAGCCCUAAGGUUGGUUCAUCAAGUUCACAUGACCUAGGGAUCAUUUUGAAGUGGUUUGGCCAAAGAUUGGAUGUUCAGAAGUCAUCAGUCAUUGCACAAUGCAUCUGAAACCCUAGAAAGUCAACCAAAGUCAACUGUGCAUGAAAUCAUGGAUUUGAAGCUGGGAGAUGGCUAGAGAGGCCUCAUUCAUGUCCAUACAAGUCUCAUUUGAUAUUGCAAACAUCAACAAUGAAGAAUUUGAGGUCAGAUGAAAACUUGCCAAAAAUAGUAAGUGACCUGUAAUUGGAAAUUGCCAAAAAUAGAAAGGUUUUCUCCUCAAGUUUACAUCAUCAAGAAAGCUCCAAAUGAAAUUUUGUCCAACAUGAAAGUUGAAGAUCUUGUUCUCCCAUUUCCAAAAAGUCCAAGAACAUGAAUUUCUCAUGUGUGGUUGAGAUGUUAUGGAUCAAUCAUUGUCAAUGGAAUUUGAACUUCAAACAUGCAUAACUUUUGAACCAAAAGGCCAAAUGGAGUGGUUCUUUUUUGCACAUUCAUGUCUUAACAUGCACUAUCCAAAUCAUGCAUCACAAAUCAUGCAUUCUCAUCACAUAAUUAUUUGAUUUUUCACUUGAUUUUUUGGAUGGAAUUUUCAAAUCUUAAAAUAAUGCAUUGUUUACACUUGGCAACAUUUCCAUUGGCUUACAAACAGAGUUUUGAGUGGAUUUAGGCCCAAUUUUGUGUACUGUUCCAUUCAUACCAUGCAUAGAGGUGGAAAUAUCAAUUUGCAUAAACACUUGUUUCCAUUAAUUCCACUUGCCAAAUGCCUAAACAUGUUUAAGAAUUUGCUUAACAGAUGAUAUAUAAGUGAAACCCUAGCAGAUUUCAGCAUUAACACAUCCAAAUUUCAGAUCUAGAGCCAAUUUUGCAUUUUUCACAAACUUUUUCCCUCAACUUUUCAUCCAUUUUCUGCACAAGCAUUGCAUUGAUUCUUCAUUGAUUCACCAUCCACAAGCUUUUCUGAAGAAGAUUGAAGCAAGAUUUCAUCACUUUCGUGCUGUUUUAAGAACUGUUGCAUCAAGCUUCAUCCAUGGCAAAUGAGGAUUUGAGCUACAUCAAGCAAGAUUGAGCUAUCCUGUUGCAUUCAUUCAUCUACCCGAGCCUUGAGGAUCAUCUGUUUCAACAUCACCAGGCCAGAAAACCACGAUUUCACAUCUGCACUUGAUUGAAGGUCAGAUUUCGAGAUCCACCAUUCAUGAAAUUAUGAUGUGUUUGUUGUAGAUCUUUGAUUGUAGAACAUGCUGAGCUUUGUAGUUUUAAAUUUCAUCAAGAAUUAAGAGAGAUAUGUGGAUUCUAAGAUUGAUGAGUGAAAAUGCUGAGCUUUGUAGUUUUAAAUUUCAUCAAGAAUUAAGAGAGAUAUGUGGAUUCUAAGAUUGAUGAGUGAACUUUCUUUUGCUCGAUCCAGGCUUGUGAGUAGGAAUUAGGUUUAAUCAUGUUUAAAUUGUUGAUGUACAUGCUAAGGCGAAGCUAUUGAUGUAUCGUUUGUUGAUUUCUGUGAAAAAUGUUCAUAGGCUGGAAAUUUUAUGAAGAACAAUGAAGAACCCUAAUUUUCUUGCCCAGAACCCGUGUUUGAUCCCCAUUUCGCCUUACUGCAUGUAAUUUCUUGUUUAUGCGCACGUAUUGGCUGCAUGUAGUAUAACAUGGCGUUUUCACUGGUCACGAGCGUUCCUCCUUGCCACCUUACCUUUAAUGAAACGCGGCGUUUCAUUGUGAGGGCGCUACAUUUAAAAACCAACUCGGUUCGAUCCUCCGCUGAGGCAAAUCCACAUUAGGCUUUGGCAUUUUUUCUCUUGUAUGCUUCACAUGUUCAUACCAUGCCAUUCAUUCAUUUUUUAUUUUUUCUCCACAUUAAAAAAUUCAUAACUCACAAAAUAAUGAUCCAAUUCACAUGAGAUUUUUUGUGCCAUGUUCCUUAAGAUCUCUACUAUUUUAUGAUGAUUUUUGCAAAAAUUGUGCAUGCCUGGUUUUUCAAUUUGGCUAGGAAAUGUUCAUACAUGUGUUUUAUUGCACCUUGCUUGCUAUGUUGAUUGUGAAAUGAUGAUGGUUAAUCCAAUGAAGCUGAAAUUUUACAUGUGUAAACUAGACACCUUUAGGAACAUUUUGGCAUUGAGUUUGUGAUUUUAUCAUUUCUGGUUGUGGAGAUAUGCUAUGAUCAAUAUGGGUGUGACAAUGUGAUAGACACCUUUAGGAACAUUUUGGCAUUGAGUUUGUGAUUUUAUCAUUUCUGGUUGUGGAGAUAUGCUAUGAUCAAUAUGGGUGUGACAAUGUGUGUCACACCAUUUCUUGUCCAAUUUGUGGAAUUACCUUUACCAUGCCUAUUGAAUGCCAAAUAAUCUGAAAUUUUGCAUGUUGACUCUCAUGGAUGUUAAGUUUGAUCAUGAAUUCUUGUGGAUCUUUUGGAUGUAUUUCCAAUUUGAUUGAGAUUUUCUCUGUGGAUUGGUCAUUUGUGGACUUUUUAUGAGUGUUGAUUUUAGAUGAUUUGUGAAAUUCUUGAUGUUUAUUGGAUGGACCUGAAAUUUUUCACAUGUAUUCUAGACACCUUGAAGUUUUUCUUGGUUAUGGUGUGAUCCAUUUAUCUUGUGCCAAUUCUGUUUUGUGCUUGCUUGAAGUUGAUGCAUGAAUUUGUGCCUUGUUUGAGCUUGUCUGAGCAUGCUUUGACUUAUGGAUUUUAAUUGACUUGCUUCCACUUGUCCAAAUGACUUGAAUUUUGGUGUGAUGAUCAAUUGAUGGAUUCUGUUUAUACAUGAUUUUUCUUGGGAUUUAUUGAAAUAUUUUUGAGUUGAUAUGAACUGAUUCAUUCUGUUUGGUUCUAUGAGCUUCAAAUUGCAUGCUUUACACUAAAUGUUUUAUGAAAUGAAAUUGGUUGAUGAAAAUUGAUAUGAGACCACUUGGAGUUUGUUCCUAAUUGAUUGAGCUUGGUUCUUGAUAAGUUUCAUGUUCUGUUUUGGUUUAUUGCUCCCAUUUUGACCCUAGGCCUUGUCCUAGUGGUUAGUGUUUAAUGUUUGAGCUUUGUUUCAGGUCAAAGAGCACAAUUGCUUAUACUUGAUGAUGUGCACUCAAUUGGAGUUGGUCCAUUGCUUGUUUAAUUGACCCUUUUAAAACCCCCCUUGGGAAAAAGUUUUUUGGGGUUUUUUGUAGGUUUUAGACUUGUACCUAGGCCUUGUGCUUGCACCUUUGUGCAUUGCUUUGCUUGAUUGUUGUUGACUGUACAGUUAAUUGUUGACCAUUGUUGUUUGACUUUUGUGUCUGUGUACUGAUUAUGUUGGAUUGUUUUCAGGUACCUUAGUUGCUAUAGUUCCCUUGUGAACUUGCUUUUGCUUUGCUUGAUAGCUUAAGCACUGAGGUAAACAUCUCUUCUUCUGUAUCUGGAAGACCUGGCCUGUUAUUUGGUCAGCACCUGUCUGAAGUCCUCCUUAAGAGGCAAGUUUGGUUUGUUUACUUUUGUCCUUGUACAUAUUCAAAAGACCUCCUAAGUGAGAGAGCAUUGGCAGAUACAAGGGAUGUGCAAUCCAUCCCCUGCUAUUCUGUGUGUCAUCUGCUUGCUCACACCACUGUGUUGAUGCAUUGCAGAUACUAACCCAAGAUCAUUGUACAUUGUGUCAGUCAUAAGUGUAGAAGGGUUCCAACUUUCUGAACCCACACUUUCAUUGUCUUGAAGCUCUCCCUGGCCAGGAUAAGAGCUGUGAAGUCUCAUCUUCACUCACCAUUUCAUCUGCUUCACCCAAACUCUCAAUGUUAGGGUUAAAGAAAGCAAAUCACACCCCAUUCCAGUGGCUUGUUUGUCGAGGUUGACAUGACCCCUUGACUAAAGCCUAGCCUUGUGUGAGCCCACUUUGUUUGUAUAUAGUGUGUUAUUUGUGUGAUUGUUUGCUGUUUACCUGUGCUGAUAGGAUAGCUUGCUCCCUGUGCAAGUUAGCUAGAAACCUUAACUUAGGGAUGAUUUGCAUGAUAACAUCUAGGCUCGAGUCGUAGUCUCCCUAGUUGUGUCUCCCUUUGUUAUCUGGUUAGACUAGUCCUUUUUCCCUGCGUAGGGGAACUACGUCGCCCUGAUCCUCAUACCAGAUGAGGUACGUAGGCAGGAGAUGAGCUGAUCUCUCUGGGCGCCCUUUUAUUUUGUUUGUGUGAGUUGUUUCUCCUUUUCUGAUAGGAGAUGGAUGUAAGCCCAGCGAUUGGCAUUCCGUAUCCUCUUGUUGUGUGUUUGGAGUCCGACAUAAGUCCAGCGAUUGGCAGUUGGUUUCCAGUGUGUGUGUGUUUGGUUCGGAGUCUGAUGUAAGCCCAACGAUUGGCAUUCGGUUUCCGAUGUCUGCUUGUUUGUGUGGAGUUUGACGUAAGUCCAGCGAUUGGCAGUCGAUUUCCUGUGUUGUUUUGUUUGGCGUGUGUGAGCCGAGCUACGAGUGCUCUGAUUCUUCUUUAGUCCGAGAAGAUACGUAUGCAUAGGAUGCGACAUCCUAGCGAGCACGUUUUCCCCCGUCCGAACUACGUCGACUCUGAUGUCUGUGCCUGACAGACUAUCGAGCCCAGAGCACAUCCUCCGAGUUAGUUUCUUUGUUUUCUGUGUCUCUUUCAGCCAGUUUGAUGUUGUUUUGAGCAUGUUUUAGGCAACCAUUUUCCUUCCUUUUGUGCUGUGAUUCACGUCGAGUACGACAGAUGCGUAGGGUGCUAAUACUUCCCUCGAUAAACUGACUCCGAGCCACUCUUUGGUCGCGAGACCAUGUCUUUUCCAGGUUUACUUCGAGCGUUUCCUUUCCCUCUUUUGGGAUAAAUAACGCAUGGUGGCGGCUCUGUUGUUUUCGUUUCCCGCCGGUUUUUCGCAUAAUGCGACACAAGGCUGAAUGGUCCAGAUCAUGAGGAACACGAUACAACCAAGUCAAGCGCGCCACAAAGUGAUUUAAAAAAAGUAAACACAAUAGAUGAAUGAGAUUAAAACGUGGAAACAUGAUCCAAGGGCCAUGAAGGCAUACACGUGGUGAUGGUGGUGGAAACCACCAUCUUCUCCGGUGAUCCAACAAUCUCCAGCCACCAGUUGUAGAGAAAAACUUCUUAACAAAAAUGGAAAAUGAGGACAUCAAAUUGAAGCUCGUGUGGUGUAGAUCACCACUGUAUCCAUGGAUCUUCCUCACUCUUCCUAUAUUGAGAGAAAUGUGAAGUGGAAGAUCAUGGUGUUCAAACUGAAAAAGUGCACGAAAUGGAAAAUUGAAACCACCAUUGGCUUGCCUCAAGUGUGAGGACUUCAGAAAACCACACAAACACAAGGAUAUCACAUUGAAUUGCAAGUUCUAGAUCCAAAAAGUUUGAAGUUAUACCUCUGAAUUGAAGCUCUUCAAGCCACGAAAUCUUCAAGAUCUUGGAUCCUCUUUGCUUUAGGGAUGCAGUGGAGAUGAUAGGCUAAGAAAUUGAGCUUUGAAAAUCAACUAAUGAUAUUGAAUUUCAAGCUUGAAUGUGAGAAAAAUUUCUAGAAAAUUCCUUUGGUAUGGCUAUGGUUUCAGUGCUGCAGCGUUUCAGAUCUCUAAAAGGUUACCAAAUGAAUGAGAUGGAGUGCUUAUUUAUAGUUGAAAUUGGUUGUGCAUCAUGCUUCACUCGUGUGCAUGGAAAAUGGAAAUUAGAUGCAUGGGCCUGUAUAGGCGCAUGUGAGGCCCAAUGAUGGGUGCAAAACCAUGCUGAGUUCAUUUGAAAUGGAAUUUGACGUGUAAUUUGGAGGGAACUAGCUUGCACAUUAAGUUUCAUCAUGAAAUGUCAAAAUGGACAUAAAUGAAGAGCUCUUCGAAACUCAUCAAUGGUAAGCCCAAAAAAGUAAUGUGAGUAAUGGUUGGAAAGCUCUUUAAAUAAGGAACAAAAGUCAUGUUGGGCAAAAAUUCAUUUGGAAUUUGGAAAUUAAUGAAAACUGGCUGUGAAAAUUUAGGUACAAAACAUGUUUAGGUCACCUUUGAAAAUUUUCACCAUAAGCAAGCCUAUUCAAACCCCUCUGUUUUUUCAUGAUGCAAGUUUCAAAUGGAAAAACAUCUAACAUAAAAGUUGUAGAUAUUUUCAAGAUGAUAAAUGUAGACUCAAAAUUUGCAUCAUUUGGGUUUUCCAUAAAAAAGUUAUGGAUAUUUGAAGUUGGGUACUUUUUCAAAUUCAAUGAAUUAGGUCCAAGAUGACCUAUAAUGUUUUGUAUUAUCACAUGUAUUUAUUUUAGGAUUAUGAUUUUUGUACAACAUAAAAUUUUAAGUAGACAUCUUAAGAUUUCCAAUUCAUUUGGUCUCACCUCAAAAUAAUAAAAAUUAAGGAAGUUAUGCCCUUGGUAAGUUGACCCAAAAUUAGGGUUUCAGUCAAAAUGACCUAUAAUGUUUUGAAAUGAAUGAUGACCUUCAAAGUUUCAAAUGAAAUUUUUGAUGAACAUGAAAGUUGUUGAUAUGGUUCUUAAGAACAUUUUUCAUCUUGGGGUCAUCUUCAUUUGACAAAGACAUCAAAAGUUACAUCUCAGUGGACCUCAGUUUAGUUAGAUGACUCCACUGGCCAACUUCUCAAGGCCAAACUUCCAAUCUUGAUGAAUGAAUGAUUGAGGAUCCUAAAAUAGGCCCAUAUAUGCACAAAAUAAUUAAUUAAAGAACUUCCCUUGAUUAAAUUUGAUCAUAGAUUGAGAUUGCUUCAUGAGCAAGGCACAGUCAAAGCACAGUUGAAUUAGGGUUUCCUUGGGAAACAAUCCUCAAGCCCCUUGGGUUAUCUUGAUAAAAUUGGAAAAUUGAGAUACUUGGGAGACAUAUACGAUGAUUAGGAGCUUUGUGGACCAUUUUCAUGCUUUUUCUCAUCUUCAUCUAGCCAUUGCAUUGGGCUUAGGAGCCUCCUAGGAGCAUGGGAGCACAUGAUCACUUGAGUUGCAAAACAAAAAGAGUUAGUGACAUAUUUUUGUGCUUUUGGUUAGUAAGAAAAGCAAUAAUAUACAAUACAAGCAUGCUUGGUGGUCUCAAAACACUCACACAAGUCCCAACCCUAGGGUUAAGGAGCCAAACAUGCUAUGAUCCUUGAGGCAAUGCACUGAGCAAUGAUAUGAGGCCAUGUGGGAUCUUAGGGUCAAAAUUAGGGUCUUACAACUAUCUAUUUAAUCCCCGAAGUUUGAUGUAUUACAUACCGAUAUCCCUUGUAUCUCAUAUCUUAUUUCUAUUUACGUUAUAAUUAUUUCUCUUCAUCCCUCCAAUCAUAGAACAAUCAUCAGUCUUAGAUUUACAUAGCAACAAUAGACCAUGAUACGUUCGAUUAUUAGUCCUUGUGGGUUCAAUAAUAUUUAAAACUACGCGAUAGGAAUGUGCACUUGCAGUCACGAUUCACAUAGACUUACUAAGUCGCGAUCAGCACCCCUCAAGUUGUCUUGGAAGCAAUGUAUCAUAAGUUUAUCGUCCUCAACAUGCGCAUCCAUUUUCUGAUAGUACAUAAUAAGGUGACUUUUAGGGUAUGAGUGGCCCUAGUACUUAUUGAAAUUUGGGGUCUUGAAUUUCGCGGGGAUCACAAGAUUAGACACUAAGCACAUCUCCCUAGCAGCAGAACCAAAUACUUGGUCACCUUCCAUAGCCCUUAACCUUUUCUCAAGAAUCUGAAACUUCUCCUUCAUUCCUCUUAUGUUUUCAUGCCUUUCAUCAUCUUCGUCAGAAAAAUCCAGAGCAUGUUGUUGAUCUUCAAACUAAGGUGCACAUGUGCAUGGACAUGGGGUGGUGCAAAUGUGUGGACCACGGGAUGAGAUUCAUUGAUAGUCGGUAGAGGAACUGUCUACUGAGUGAAUUGUAUAAUUCCAGGGGCGCCUUCAAUUGGAGGUGUAAAGUUGGGAGGUAAACUAAAGACAUGCCAAGUAGUAGGCACUGUCCUUGUAGGUUGGGGUUCAAUUGUAGGACCGAUGACUUCUGAAACGACUGUUGUUUGGGUGUCCAACUUAGCCUUAAUGACUUGUAGUAUCUCCAUGACUUGACCCAUGUUUCCUUUUAGGUCCUCAAGUUCUGAGCUUACUCUCUCCAAUUCUUGCUCUUAUCUACCAUUCUUUGACGAGCGCUGGCUCUAGUAUUCUAGUGGUGUUGGGGACUCAGUGUGGAACUGGAAGAAGAUACAAAAUGAGUUUUUGUUUGAAGAAUGACAUGGAUGCAUGUAUGAGUGCAUAUAUGGAUGCCUUUCAUGCAAAUCUCUUAGUCAUUUUUGUUAUUUAUUUCAGUAAUAUUAGAACAUAUUGUUUGCAAUAUCUUGAAUAAAAAGCAUAAUAAUUGAGACCCAAAAUGACAACUUUCAUUAAUUUAAAUUCCAAUACAAAGUGAUUCAAGUACAAAUGACUCAAAUUCAAAUACAAAUGAUUCAAAUACAAGUAAUUCAAAUUCAAGUACAAGUAAACUUAAGCUCCAUCUCAGCCUUUUUGAUUGUAGCAAGAUUUGUGGUGAGCUCCUUAACUAUUUUCUUGCAAAACUUGACAAAAUUGAAAACUUGGGGAGGUGUGUACUCUGGACACAUACACCAAUCAUCUUGUUGGAGUUUUUCUGGGAGUUCCAACAUGUUGAGGUUAGAAAAUCUAGCCAAGUUGAUGAACUUGCCAUUCCAUUCAACAUAGAGGUCUUGGAGUUUCUUGAUGACGCGCUGAUCUUCAUCUAGGCCCGCUCUAAUCUCUCUAUAUAGCCUCCUAUAAUACAUACAAUCAUUCUUUAAGAGCAAGUAGGAUGCAUCACCUUCUUGGCUCUCCCAAAUUGCAAACCUCCUAUUAGCUUCUUCCAACUGGCACUCGAGUCGGUGACAGUUUCUUUCAGCUUCUUCUUUCUGGAGGAUCUUGCGAGACAACUUAUCUUUGCACUUCUUGAGCGUGUCCUUCAGUUCAUGGAUUUGGGCUUCAAAGUCGAGCUUAAUUUCCUUCUUUUACAUAAGAGACCUAUCCAACAUCCUUCCUAACUCAUAAAUUAUAUAUUCAGCUUUCUUGAGUUCUUCCUUUCUGGUCUGGAUCACUGAUGUAGAACCUAUAAGGAUAUGAUCAAGUUCAUCCUUCUGGUCUUCCAAUAACCUGACUCUCUUGUUACUAUCUUCAAGUUCCUUGGCUUUCCCUUUACGUUCAUCCUUCAAAUUUUGAUUUUCCAAGACAACUCGAUUCAUCUUAAUCUGUAACUCAGUAUUCUCCAAUUCUAGCUCUUUAACCUUAGCAUUGAGUUUCUCCAUGUCCUCAAGAAGUAUAGGUUUUGGAUCAGGAAUCUUAGGGAAAGCUGACGCAUCAAAGAUAAAUGGCAAAUGGAUUACUUCAACUCUCUCUUUCACCCAUCAAGUAAAAGUUUCUUUGACAAGAAUGUUACUUUUUCCGAACUCUUUACGCUUUUUAACAAUCUUCAACCAAGAUUUUUGGAUCGUUCUUACAUCAGGAUAACUUGCUUGGAUGUCAAAGAGAACAAAUGGUUGCAAGUCUUUUGCUUCAAGAGGACCAUCCAUGGAGUAGUCGUGUUGCAUUCGAGAUAACAUAGGGUUAUAAUUAAUGCAACCCUUAGUUCCUAACAAUGACACAUUAGGAAAUUCCCCACAACUGAAAAUGAUGUUUGGGGUUUCCCAUUCUCUGACAUACUAUCUGAUGGAACUUGCAGUGAGAGAAGCUAGUCUUUGAGGAUAUUUAAGCUCUUUCGCGAUAAAAGGGCCUUUUUCGGGCAUAUGUUGCAUGAACCAAGUAUAAAGCAAAGGAGCAAAGCAUAAAAAAGUUCCACCCCUCUUUUCAUGUUGAGCAUGAAGGGCAUGGUAAAUGACAGCUAAGAGAAAUGGUACAUGAUUGCUAGAGAGAAAGACCUCUACGACUAUAUGAUCCAUAAACUUUUCAAUGUUUGGGAAGAGCACAAUCCCGUGGAUCAACAGAGCCAAGACAACAUAGAAUGCCUUCCAUUUUACUUCUUUCUUGAACUUCAGAGCUAAUUCUUCCAAGAACCUCAUGGAAAAACCUUUGAAACCCUCUUUCUCGACCCAAUUGGCUAGAAUAGUUGGGACAUUGAUACUUAGGGAUAAGGAUAACUUCUUUGGGCCCGCUUCCUCUUCAAGCUUUGGAAAUGGAUUGAAAUCUUUCAACUUUAGACCCACAACUCUCUCAACUUCUUCCAAAGUAGGAGCUGGUUGGAAAUCAGCAAAUGUGAAACAGUGUAGAGGCGUAUCAUAAUAUUGUGCCAAAGAGAUGAUAAUCCCAUAGUCAACUUUCUUAGUUAGAAGGCUCAAAAUUUUCCCAUAGUCUUUUCCAAAGUCAUCACGCUUAUUGAGAGUCAAAUCAGAGAUCAAUCCUUGUAGACUUCCAAGCUUAGGUUCCUUGUACUUGAGUGAGAAAGUGUUUCUUCUUGGAAUUGUCAUUUUCAAGUUCUCAAUUCCUGAAACAAAUAUGAGAUAACUAAGAGUUUGCUUUUUAUGAUGUUGAUGCAAUGUAUAUAGAUGAAUGUGAUGCAUUUUUUUGUAUAAGUUCAUAGAAUCGAGGUAUGGAUAAAUCUGAUUGCUUCGUAAAGAACAUGAUUCUCACCAGGUAUGGUCUAGGGUUUCAAAAAAGUUCCUAGAGUCAUGGAUCCAUUAGGCUGUUUGUUGCCUGUGGCAACUUACUUGUCGUGCAUCAACUUCAUCCAAAGAAUCUACUCUAAGUGAGGCUCUCGCGUUGACCCAAUGAGAAAUUCAUCUCGGGGACCCAUACUACACAACCAUCUUUCUAAUUGGCCAAAGGAUUUAAGGUUCUACAAAAGGUAAUUAGAGUCAUGAAUCCUAAUGAAAAUAUCGAAGCUUACAGAAACUUACUUGCCGGGCGACAACAUCCUCCCAAUGAUAUACUCUAAGUAAGGUUCUCGUACUAACCCAACGAGAAAUUCAUCUCCCGAACCCACACUACUCAACCUCUCCCUAUCUUAUGUUUUUACUCGAGACUCAGGUAAAAAGUCUUUCCCAUAAGGUUUACAAUCAGAGUAUCCAAGUACCAUAGCAUAAUGGAACCAAUAUAACAGAUUAUAUCAAUAUGAUAAUAAAGAUAGAAAAAGAAAUAAAUAAAAUCCACACAAGUAAACAAACAAAGGCACACAAAAGACCUAACUAGGCUUGACUCACAUACGGAAAUCGGGUAUUCCCCAGCAGAGUCACCAUCUGUCGUACCUCAAAAAAUGAGAACAUGACUUUGUAGAGCAUAAUCGCACGCUCGUCGGAUGGACUGAACAGAGUCGCCACCGAACUUUAUUUAUUCCCAAAGAGGGAAAGGCAAAAUAUCAAUAAAAACCCUAAAAUAAAUUAUAAGAUAUGGUCAUCGCAACCAAUAUUAGGGUUUGGGAGUCGAUUACGCAAAGGGAACGUAUUAGCACCUCUUACGUCCGUUGUACUCAACUCAACAAUUAUGGAUGAAACAUUGCUUUGCAUCAUCUUAAGACAAGGUAUCUUUCAUUUAUGAAAAUGUUUUCUGAUUAAUCGCACGGCGGCAAAAAAGAGUUUGAUUGGUUGAAUGUAUUUUUGGGCUAGAAAGAUGAGUAUUUAUGACUUGCAAGCUCUUACAACUUGGGUGUCAUACUCAGGAUUACGAUUGGACCUUUCACCCAGGUAAUCUUUUUCUUUCCAUUUUAUUAAGAAAAUGGUUUGAAUAUUUACAAGUGUUUUAGAGGGAAGGCGAACACUUAUGGCUUGCAAGCUCUUACAACUUGAGCCUAGCAUUCAGGAUUACGACUGGACCUUUUACCCAGGUAAUCUUUUUCUUCUGAUUUUAGUUAAGAAAAUAAAUUAAAAAUGAGAUUAAUGCAAAUGUUUGAAAUUAAAUUAAAAUGAUCAAUGCACGGGUGUUUGAAAUCAAUGAAAGUUGAAUAUACAUGCUUAAAAAACUCGAUGUAAAAAGACCCCAAAAAUAAGUCGAGUAAAAUAAAUGAAUAAAUAAAAAAGGUUAUUUAUAACACACUUAAAAAUUAAAACGGAAAAUAUAAAAUCAACAAAUAUUUAAAAAAUGGGACAAGAUAAAAGGGUACAAAAACGGAAAAAUAAAUUGUAAGUUAUAAAAAAAAAUUCAAUAAAAUGGCAAUUAAAAACUAAAAACAAGUGGAAAAAAACAUUUGACGUCACUAGGGAUCAAACCCACGGCCUGGUGGGAAGCAACGACUGCCUUAACCACCCGCCCAUAGGUGGCCAGUUGAUAGGUAAAAGCGCUUAUUCAGAAUACCCUAAUGAAUGUUUUAAAAUAAAAUAAAAAGUAAAUGGGCCAAGAGUGGGUCGGGCCCCUUCCUGACCCGAAUCGCCUCUGUAGCACAAAAAGGAACAAAAGAAAACCCUAAUCAAACAUGACCAAACGACCUCCCCUCACUCUUUUUCAGAAUACAUAUGAAAUCCUCUCUCUCGAUCGAAUUCUCUUCAAAAAUUCUCUCAUCAAACACGAUAAACAACAACAUGGCUAAACGAAAACGUCUUGCUUCCAUGAAAUCGUCCCCCUUUUACCGUGAAAUUCGAGCGUCGACUAAGCCACAUCUGUCGUCAUCCAAGUAUGAACGAAAGCGCGAGUCGAGGCACCGAAACAAGCAAAUCGUAUGCAGCGAAUCGGAAAUGGACAGUUAUGGCAAAAAUCAAUAGACGAAGAUAGCAAAUACAACUAAGGAAUGGAUAAAAAUUUGAAAAAAGAAAUUAAAUGAUUGAAACAGAAUGUUUACCGACUAGUAUGUUGCUUUUAUUACCUCUCCCUGAAAUAUCUUUUGUUUUCUCUUCUUGUGUGCUAUGAGAAAAGUUUCAAUGCUUCUAGUAUGUAUUUUAGGCUUGACUUGUUUUUUUAUAAAGAAAUAUGGUAAUUGUUACUAUGAUAUAUAUUUGAGAAAUAUGGCCGAUUUUUUCAAUAUGCUGUAAGUUUAUAAUGUUUGAUGGUGGUUUUUUUUUUUUCCUGAUACUGCCCAAUUUAUAUGGGGAACGUAGGUUUUUGUUGUGUGUUUGCUGUGUUGUUGUGUCGUGUAUUCAUGGUAAUGAAACAAUAGACUUUUAUGAUACCAAAAAAUGGUCUUGCCAAAACAGUAAUUCUAUGUAAAAUCUGCUAUCAUAAAGUGUAUAUGUUAGAACAACAAAUUAUUUUUUCCUCUUUUUUUCAAAUUGAAUUUCUAAUUCUCCUUUUUUCAUGGUUUGUAAUUGAACUAUUUCUUAUUUGGUUAUGUUCAUUAGGAAGGAAAUGACUUGAAGAUGGAGGCAUUCUUAUAUUAAGAAACAAGAUUUGUAAAAAUCAAAUAGUGUAAUAUUUUUUCUUGUAAAUUGGUCAAUUUGAAAUAGAAAAAAAAAAUUCUAAUGAAAAUUGUGCUAAUAAAUGUCAUUCAAAUGAAAUCAAAAAAUGGAAUGAUUUAUGAAUAUGAAUGAUUAUGAAUGAAAAUCCUAUUCUUUUUAUGUGAGUUGGUCAAUUGAAAAUAGAAAUUCUAAUGAAAAUUAUGCAAUAAAUGCCAUUAAAAUGAAAUUAAAAAAAUGGAAUAAUUUAUGAAUAUGAGUGAUUAUGAAUGAAGGUCCUAUUUUUUUUUAUGUGAAUUGUAAAAUUGAAAUAAAAAAGUUCUAAUGAAAAUUAUGCAAAUAAAUGCCAUUAAAAUAAAAUUAAAAAUGAAAUGAUUUAUGAAAAGUCCUAUUUUUUUUAUGUGAAUUGGUCAAUUGAAAAUAGAAAAGAUUCUAAUUAAAAUUAUACAAAUAAAUGUCAUUAAAAUGAAAUUAAAAAAAUUGAAUGAUUUAUGAAUAUGAAUGAAGGUCCUAUUUUUUUAUAUGUGAAUUGGUAAAUUGAAAUAAAAAUAAAUUCUAAUGAAAAUUAUGCAAAUAAAUGUCAUUAAAAGGAAAUUAAAAAAUUGAAUGAUUUAUAAAUAUGAAUGAUUAUGAAUGAAUGUUCCUAUUUUUUAUGUGAAUUGGUAAAUUGAAAUAGAAAUUUUUUUAAUGAAAAUUAUGCAAAUAAAUGUCAUUUAAAAAAUGAAAUAAUUUAUGAAUAUGAAUGAAGGUCCUAUUAGCUUAGAGGUAUGAAUGCAUGACUUGAAAAACGAUUUGGUCUAUACUUGUAAUUCGUUAUGGAUUCCUUAAUUAAAAUGUGAUCCAAACCUAACUCAUAUACCAAAAUUUAUUUAUGUAGUAUGACAAAUUAUAGCUUCAUGAAUUUCAAUGCAACUUCCACCCCCUUUAUAAAUUCCAAACUAAAUGGGUCCAAUUUUUUAAAAGACUUUUAUCACCCUUUUUUCCCCUCAAAACUUAAAUUAAUCAUGAAUUAAAACUAAGUUCUAAAAGAAAUCGAACAUUUUUAUGAUCUUUCUCAAAAAUAAAAAACAUGACUCAAACUAAAAAACUACAUUUAUUUAUUUAAAUUCACAUUCCAAACAAAAGUCAAACAUUAAGACUUUACUUGUUAAAAGGAAUUGUGAUGACAAAUGAUCAUGGAUGAUAAAAUAAAAUGGCAUGAGACUUACAACUAUUCUAAAUUGAAUGAAAUGAUGUAUGAAUGAAAGAUGUAUGUAUGAUAAGAAUGUAUGCACUGGUCUUAACAAAGUGACACAAGCAAAACUGAUUUCUCCUUGAUUAAUGAAUUCUGACAUAUGCAUGGAUUGAGAUCUUAACCAUAUGAAAUGAUCACGGGACAUAUUGCAGACGAAAUACUUAAUAAAUUUAUGUCAAUGAGUGAAUGCAAAUUGAUAAGUACAGAUGCUUGAAAUGUAAAUGAAUGUCUUUAGGAGAGGAAAAAUUUAGGGUAUGACAAUACUGAUCUAGUAUCCUCGUAGAAUCGUAGAUAUGAUUGAGGUAUUAUUCCAUUCUUAGAAUAUCUCGAUUAUAUAAUACAAGAUACUGCUCGUUGAUCCUCAGGGAAUCUCAUUAGCUUUUGUUUGAGAUACUGCUCUAGUAUACCCAAAGAAUCUUAAGAUACGAUUGAGAUAUCAUUCCAUUGUUGGAAUAUCUCGAUUAUAUCAUAUAAGAUACUUCCUCGUUGAUUCUCAGGGAGUCUCAUAAGCUUUUGUUUUUACUUCUCCAGUAUCCUCGAAGAAUCUUAAGAUACAAUUAAGGUAUCAUUCCAUUGUUGGAAUAUCUUGAUUAUAUCAUAUAAGGUACUAUUUUGUUGAUCCUAAAGGAGUCUCCCAAGCUUUUAGUUUUACUUCUCUAGUAUCCUCGAAUAAUCUUAAGAUACGAUUGAGGCAUCAUUCCAUUGUUGGAAUAUCUCGAUUAUACCAUAUAAGGUACUGCUUUGUUGAUCCUUAGGGAGUCUUAUAAGCUUUUAUUUUAUCUAUUCUAGUAUCCUCAGAGGUUCUUAGAUAUGAUUGAGGUAUCAUUCCAUUGUUGGAAUAUCUCGAUUAUAUCAUACAAGAUACUGCUUCGUUGAUCCUCGGGGAAUCUUAUUAGCUUUUGUGUUAGAUACUGCUCUAGUAUCCUCAAAGAAUAUUAAGAUACAAUUGAGGUAUCAUUCCAUUGUUGGAAUAUAUCGAUUAUAUCAUAUAAGAUACUGCUUCAUUGAUUCUCAAGGAGUCUCCUAAGCUUUUGCUUUUACUUCUCUCGUAUCCUCUAAGAAUCUUAAGAUACGAUUUAGGUAUCACUCCAUUGUUGAAAUAUCUCGAUUAUAUCAUAUAAGAUACUGCUUCGUUGAUUCUCAGGGAGUCUCCUAAGCUUUUAUUUUUACUUCUCUAGUAUCCUCGAAGAAUCUUAAGAUACGAUUGAGGUAUCAUUCCAUUGUUGGAGUAUCUCGAUUAUAUCAUAUAAGGUAUUGCUUCAUUGAUCCUCAGGAAGUCUCCCAAGCUUUUACUUUUACUUCUAUAGUAUCCUUGAAGAAUCUUAAGAUAUGAUUGAUGAAUUAUUCCAUUAUUAGAAUAUCUCGAUUAUAUCUUAUAAGGUACUGUUUCGUUGAUCCUCAGGGAGUCUUAUAAGCUUUUAUUUUGUCUACUCUAGUACCCUCAGAAAUUCUUAGAUACGAGUGAGAUUUCGUUUCAUCUUUGGAAAGUCUCGAUUAGAUCAUAUAAGAUAUUGCUUUGCUAAUCUUCAGAGAAUAUUAGUCUUAUAAAUUGAAAGACAUUUCCAUUCUUGGAAACUUUAAAUUAUAUCAUAAAAGAUAUUGCUCCGCCGAUUAUUAGAGAGUCUUGAUUGUUUCACUUUAUUUAAUGAUUAUCUCGCUACUUAUCUCACUACUUAUCUCACUACAUUUCCUUUAUGCAUUUCCUAUCUCUGCAUCUCAAAGGAUAAAAUUCAGGGUCUUUUCGUAUUUAAUUAUCUUCCACCAUAAAUGUAUGAAGACCGUUGUCAUUCAUACAUUCUGGUUCAAGGUAAUUAAAUAUGGGUAGUUGUCAUACCCCAAUUUUGUCUGGGGAUUUUAAAACUUUCAUACAUUCAACUUUAUUUUCAAUUUUUAUCAUCUACAUAGCAUAACAUGUAUUUCAUCAUGAAUAACGCCUAAAAUUUUGGCCAGAAUAAAUUUUUAGACAUACAGACAGACCGUUGAGUCGUUUCUCAAAUAUACGAAAAACUAGCGGGUGAAAUUUUUUGAAAUCGAGCUUGCCGACGUGAGUUUUAUUAAUCUAUGUUUCACGUAAUUUAAUCUGACGUGUUUGUUUUAUUUUACGACGAUUUUUUAAGUUGCAUUUUGAUUAACCUAAGCCUUUUCAACCGAUCAUUUUUUACUUCAAAAUUUAACAAAAACAUGUAUGUUUCCGAGAAGUAAAUUUUGCGCGGAUCAUUUUAGAGCAUUCAAUUUAAUUUUUUGGGAACUUUUUUGCCCAAUCAUUAUUCAUAAUCAGUCAUUUUAUUUUUAUUCUUUUGUAAAAUUAUUCAGAAAAUUUAAAUAGGACUAAUCAUACUUUUAUUUUUAUUUUAUUGUGGUUAUUUAGAAAGAUGUGAAUUUUAUUUGAUUUAAUUGAUUUAAAUUCAUUUAAAUCUUUUAAAAUAUCUAGAAGGGGCAAUCUAGGCAUUUUUAAUUGGUUGGCAAUUUGUAUUUCUUUGUUUUGAUCCGGAGCGUUAAAUCGAGAUUGAUCAAUAGUUCACAUUUGCAAUCGAUGUACAUUUCCAUUCAUCCAAUCAAAAUUAAGAAAUAAAUAAUAAUGAAGAAGAAAAUAGGUCUCUCCAGCCAGCAAGUUAAAAUUGAAAGAAAAUGGGGGAAAACCACUUGCAAAGUGGGAGAUUUUUUCUUUCGUUUCUAUCAGCAGAUCCACUACUCCCUCUAAUCUUCAACAACUUUUCAUCAAUCCCCAACUGUGACCGUCUCUACCUCACGACGGCAAGCCUCAAAACACCUCUAACCCACAACUUCUUUCCUCCCAAGACCGCUGCGAGUUUUGCAGUAACCCUCAACACCAUGAAUUACUGUCGGAAACCAACCUUCUGUCACCACUCCAUGUUAGCACAAACCUCACCUCCGUCUCUCAGGUCUACAACAACACACUCACCAUCACCAUACAAAUCAAUAUGUUUCUUUGUUCACACACCUCUUUGACGCUGGCAACAACCUUAAAUCACUAAACACCUCUGAUCUGCCAUAGUUUCACUCACCCAUAGCCACUUCCGUCGCCAUUUCCAUCACCUUAGAACAUAACCCUUAACCUUAAUUUCUCCCCCAACCUCACGUGAAACCCUUAAACCACUGUAUAUAACCUAACAUCCACCUUAAAACUCCUUUUGAAACAAAACCUCUACUUUGAAAAUCAUCUUGGAUGGACCAUUCUUCCAUGUUAUCAUCACCGGAUCUCCAACAACACAAGUGCUGCCACCCAACUUUUUUCCUAGCUACACCCUUUAAGAAACAUCGUCCACCUCCCUCAAAUGAGAUAUCCACCACUGCGUAUGUUUUUCCGCCACACCAACCUUCAUCGAAACCCCUAGAAUAUAGCAGUGAAGAUUUUUGUCCAAUUGGAGGAAUUAAGAAGAAAUGACCAGUUGCUUACUCCAAACAACGCUCGCGAGCCGUCCCGAGUCUCAUUUUCUUUGAGCUUCACCGUGGACAAGAAACCACUCUUUAUUUUUUCGCUGUUGUUUCGAAGGUUUACAAGCUUUUCCGAGACAUUAACAGUAAUAACUUCACUCCAUAACCUUUCAGCUUAAAAUUUCUAUAAUAUUGCGAUUGUAUAGUUUAUGUGGUAUUGUAUUUCAUUUUCGUUGUGAUAUCAUUUUGUUUUUGCUGUUUGUAUUUUGAACUUUGUAAUAUUGCGAGUAAAAUUUUAGUUGGUUACUGUUGUUGAAAGCUCUUGAGCUUCACAAAUGGUUCCAAGGAACCGCUUCCAGUUAUCACACGUUUUCUACAACUAAGUGUAAACUGCCUCUCUUCUAACUUCAAAUCUUUUCAUAUAACUUAUCUUAUCUUUUUUUUUUAAGUUAAUUUUUUGUUUUUUAUUCAAUAUUAUUUAUUUUGUUUAUUAUGAUGUAA